rnacentral:rRNA from 1 species
UCCAGACUCCUACGGGAGGCAGCAGUGGGGAAUAUUGCACAAUGGGGGGAACCCUGAUGCAGCGACGCCGCGUGAGUGAAGAAGUAUUUCGGUAUGUAAAGCUCUAUCAGCAGGGAAGAAGAUGACGGUACCUGACUAAGAAGCCCCGGCUAACUACGUGCCAGCAGCCGCGGUAAUACGUAGGGGGCAAGCGUUAUCCGGAUUUACUGGGUGUAAAGGGAGCGUAGACGGCAGGGCAAGUCUGGAGUGAAAGCCCGGGGCCCAACCCCCGGACUGCUCUGGAAACUGUGUAACUUGAGUGCAGGAGAGGUAAGCGGAAUUCCUAGUGUAGCGGUGAAAUGCGUAGAUAUUAGGAGGAACACCAGUGGCGAAGGCGGCUUACUGGACUGUAACUGACGUUGAGGCUCGAAAGCGUGGGGAGCAAACAGGAUUAGAUACCCCAGUACAC